GUAGGUGGCAAGCGUUGUCCGGAAUUAUUGGGCGUAAAGCGCGCGCAGGGCGGUCCUUUAAGUCUGAUGUGAAAGCCCACGGCUCAACCGUGGAGGGUCAUUGGAAACUGGGGGACUUGAGUACAGAAGAGGAAAGCGGAAUUCCAAGUGUAGCGGUGAAAUGCGUAGAGAUUUGGAGGAACACCAGUGGCGAAGGCGGCUUUCUGGUCUGUAACUGACGCUGAGGCGCGAAAGCGUGGGGAGCAAACAGGAUUAGAUACCCUGGUAGUCCACGCCGUAAACGAUGAGUGCUAAGUGUUAGGGGGUUUCCGGCCCUUAGUGCUGCAGCUAACGCAUUAAGCACUCCGCCUGGGGAGUACGGCCGCAAGGCUG
rnacentral:rRNA from 1 species